UUUUCUCAUCUGGAUUUGCUUAAAAAUAAGUAUUUCAAUUCAACUUAAAGCCCUGGGUUAGUUGACUAUUACUAUUCUGUGAAUAUUUUUUAUAUUCAUAGUGUCAUAAUUGAAGGAAUGGAUUUAUUUUCAAUUAAGUGUUACUCUUAUGUGCCGCUAAGUUCCACAUCUGUGCACACAAGGGGAGACUAUUAGGUGCAAGAGGAAAUGAGAUGCUUUGUCUUAUUCUGUGAGGUAGAUAUAUUCCUGAAAAUAUUUAUGUUGGUUACAUCUUUAAUAAAUAAGUAGUAGUGAUUCCUUACAGAACUUACAUAUAACAUUCUAAAAUCCUAAAUACAUACCCUUUUGUGAGUGGAAAAUAUUAUAAUAUGGAUGAUCAUCCUCCAAAUUAUCUAUUAACAAAUCUGAGCUCUCUUUUUUUAUAUUAUGGUGACAUGUUAAAGUACAUGAUAAAAUUUCAGUAAAGGCUCUUACAAUGUGAAUUUAUAUUAUUUGGUUUUAAAGCUAUCUUAAAAAGAGGAUUACUUUUUUUAGUAAUUAUGUGAUCCAUAGUAUACAGUUGUCAUUUUUCUUGCAUCAAGCAGUAACAUGAUAAUAUGUGGUACUUGUUCAACAGAUUCUUAUGGUCUGCUCCCUAUGCGUCUAGCACUGUUCUAAGCAUAUGAGAGACCUUUGGUAACACAGCAGAACACCCAGUCCUAAGGGACUUGAAAUUCUAGUAGGGAAAAGUAAAUUAUUUACUAUGAAAUGCAGUAGAAAAAAGAAAAAAAUAAAGCAGGAUAAGGAUUUGGGGUGUGCUUUAUGGAGGUGGGGAGUGUGUAUUAAAUAGGAUAGUAGUAGUUGGAAUCACGUCAUUGCAGAAGUGAGAUUUGAGCAAGCCUUGAAAGAGGUGAAGUAGUUAACCAGCCAGUAGAUUCCCAGGGAAAAUGUGUUCCAGGUGAAGAGAAUAGCUAGAACAGCAUCCUUAGGGUGUGACAUGUCUGGCAAGUUCAGGGACCAGCAAGAAUGGGAGGGACAGGGAGGCUGAUGAUCUAGGGUCUUGUGACCAUUGUAAAGACCGACUUUCAAUUCUGAGUGAAAAGGAGAACCAGCCUCCAGGUUUUGAGAGACAAUUGACUGUCUCUCAAGCAGUCAUAACCUGACCGCUUUUAAAAGGAUCACUCUGACUUCUGGGCUGAGAAUAGUUUGUAGGGUGAUGUCUUCACAUGUUUCCCUGAGAAACAUCUGCUGAGACAUGAUGUUUAUUCAUUUGGGAUUGAGGAAUGUGCUGGUAGGGAAGUGGAGCCUCGAGAAAGGAAAUGUAUGGCAGUCUAGACCUCUGCGAACAACCAGCCUUAAUCCUAUUGGGGAAAUUCUGGGAAUCAAAGCAAAGCACAGGCCAGACUAUUUGACCCCAGAGAAAAUGGAGUUUAGCAUUUGUUCCCUAGUCCCUUCAGGCACUAAUGGAUGGCCAUUUCCUUGAAGACCAGAGAAGGAGUCCUCAGGCAUAAAACACAAGUUUUGGCAUUGGGAUUCAGCAGGUAAACUGACCUGAGAGAUGUUAGGGGUUGUGGGUAUCGACCUACAGUUUCUACUACUAGGGACAAGACACAAAAGGACAAAUUAGGAGGCCACUGUCGUAAUCCAGGUGAGAGAUGGUGUGGCAAGACCAGGGUUGAUAGCAAUAGACGCAAUGGGGAGUGGCCAGAUUGUGUACUGUAUUUCGAAGUUUAUUAUAAACAUAAUGCCUCCAUUUUGAAAUUCUUAACAGUGACUUUGUAAGAUCCAAACAGAGAGAUAAGAAAUCAUUUUCUCUCUUUAACUGGCACUAUAAUAGCCCUGGAUCAUCUGAGGUUGUUCUAUUUCUUCAUUGAAAUUCACAAUGGCUCCAUCCUCUCUCAGCAGAUCCUCUCAAACAACAAAAUAUGUGCUUUUCUUAAGUAACUAAGGAAAACCAUGAAACACUGAGGCAAAGGCACCUAGUGCGCCUUAAGUGGCUUAGAUUGGCUGUGCUUGUAAGAUGCUGUGAGCGCGUAGCAUACAAAUUGAUCACAAACACGUUAAUUUGCAGCCCUUUUGGUUGAAAUGAUAAUGCUAAAAAUGUACAUUCCCUGUUCAUGUUUUUUUUAGGGGGGUGGAAGUAGAAAAAGGGGAGGGAGUUCUCAGUUUUAUAAACUUAUAUGAGUCCUUAAGUGUCAUCGACAGUUUUUGCUAGAAUGUUAUUCUUUGUUUCUACUUUUAUUUCUAAUUAGUUUUUUUGCCAAUUAUUCUUACCUUGCUGCUUACAAUACUGAAAAGUUAGAAAUCAACUUAAUGGCCAAAAAGAAAAGAUCUGGUAGUCAAUUUAUUAUGUUCAAAAUGUUAUAUAUGUUGUGAUCUCAUUUUUGAUAAACAUAGAACAGAAUUUACUCCAAUAAAUUUAGUAAUGUUUGGGUAGUAUAUAAGGGAUAUUAUUUUUGUAUUUCUGUUUUGUCCUUUAUGUAAUGGCAUGUACUGCUUUUUUUAAUCAGGAAAGUAUAAAAGUAACAAUAAAGUGAAAAUACAAAGUGUUGGUUAUUUUUCCCUAAAUAUGAGACACUUCUAUGUAUAUGGAAGAACCACCUCUUAGUUUCACUGAUAUUUUGGAUUUCUAUUUCAUUAAUUCCACUCUAUUUUUAUUAUUUCCUCCUACCAAUUUUGGGUCUUAUUUGUUCCUCUUUUUCAAAUUGCUUUAGGUAUAUUAUUAAGUUGGCUGUUUGGGAUUUUUCUUGCUUCUUAAUGUGGGCAUGUAUUGCAUUUUUCUCCCUGCUUGAAACUGUUUUUACAGUACCCCACAAAGUCUGAUAGAUUGUAUACUCAUCUUCAUUUGGUAAAUCUGGGGUAAUUUUUUAUUUAACUUUAGUCCAGUAACUAUUAAGCAGCAUGCUAUUUAGUCUCCAUGUAAUUAAUGUUUUUCCUUAUUUUUUUAUAUUUGAUAUCUUGCUUUAUGGCAAGAUUUCUAACUUCAGAAAGAGCUCUUAGUACAAUUUUUCAAUCUUCUCUGAUGUCAGGAGGUGCCCUUGAGUUAAUAACAGUGGAAGGGCUUCUUCUAGCAACUACUCUUCCUCCAUGGGUUUUACAGACCGGUACCUCACUAGACACAUUUUUUUUUUUUUUUUUUUGGUGGUUCCCUCGCCAGUGGCCGGGGAUCGAACUGGCGAUGCAGAGGCUGCGGGCAGCCUUGCAACCCAGCACUCAACUGCUGCGCCACCAGGGGAGGCUCUCUAGACACAUUUUAAUUGCACUAUUUCCUUCUCCAUUCUAUUUGGUUUUGAGGAGACCUGAAUUUCUUUCCUGUAUAUAGGUGGGAUCUAUUAUAGGCAUGCAUAUCUUCAAAUGUUAAUUUCUCCACAAACAUGUAUACAUUGAUAUUAGCUAAGGGAAUAUUUUUAAAUAAUACCUACAUGUGUCUAUAAAACAAGAAUAAGGUAUAUCUAAUAUGUACCUCUAAGCACAUAUUAGAUGCAGAGGAUAUAUAUGUGCCUAUAAAAUAAGAAUCUAGAAGUGUAACUUUGGAAUGUCUUCAUAAAAAUAUCUUUGUGAAAUAGUGGUAUGUGUCCAGAUUCUUAUGAGACCCUCUUUAAUGAAGUAACUCCAUUAAAUAAAAAGUAAAAUAUUAAAUAUUAAUUUUUAACUUGUAUAAUAAAUAAGUAUACAUACAGUGAAAUAAAUGAUAUCAUCCAGCCUUCACAAUUAGUGAACUUGCUUCACCUCUAGCCUCUCUUUGUCAUCCCACCAGUGAUUAUUUUAAAACAAAUCGCAGACAUUGAAGAUUAAAUUUGAAUUUAAUCUGAGUUUUUAAAAGUUAGCCAGUUUUGAAAGUAAUUCUUUCUAAGUGUUUAAAUUUUAAAAACAAAUUUCUAGUAUUUAUCUUUAAGGUUUUAUUUGUCUUUUGGUUUGACCUAUUUAUAUAUAAAGCAUAAGGUAUUUCCUGGAUAUGUUAUUCCAGGCAUUUAUUCAAUAAGCAGUGGGAAAUCAUCACACAUAAAUGGGAAUGGAAACUCAUUAGGUGAGAUUGUUUUACUUUAUUAGCAUACUGUGUGUAUAGUUUCCUUAGUAGUUGUAUAGACAUUAAAUUAUAAGAACUGCAGGUUUUGCUUAAUGGAAGGUGCUACUUAACAAUAUAGGUCAUUUGAUUUAUUUUUUAUUUACUAUAUUUUUUAAAUUACUCAUUGACUAUAAUUCUGGAGUACUUCCUUAAUUCCUAUUAUAAUACUGAUCUACUUUUUCUCACUGAUAAUCUCAACUGAAUUGCACAGCCAGCUUUAAUUAAGAGUGAAAAAAGAAAAAGAAACUCCACAUCAUUAGAAAUUCUGAUUUUUGCCAAUCUAACAACAACAAAAAGACCACAAGCAGUGUGAGAUUUGUCAGAUGUGAGGAAUGAUAACCAAUCAUGUUAGGGGCGCCUAUAACAAACUACCAUAAUUGGGGAAGUAACCUUGACAUAUUUCAGUCCAAGUAUGAAUAUCUAUAGUUUAUUAUAUUCCAGACAGUAUCCAUUAUCAAAGAUGUAGGGCCAAAUUAACUUUAAUGUUGCACUCUUCACAAGACAUUCCAUAGCUAGCAAUAACAUUAAGAUAAUGCUGUUAAAAUAAGAAUUUCAAUUAUAAGGCAGAUGAGACUGAAAAACAUGACAGCCUUAAUGAGCAGUAGGAGUUGGUAUUCACUUUGAUAAGGAACAUAGUUAUCAGGGAUAGAGAGAAACAAAAUAUAGCCUGCAGCCUUUUCCAAUUGUGUCAUGUCACCCUGUGUUGGUAACAGCUUUGGGUUCAAAUUCAUUUCUCUUCAUUCUCCCAUCAGUUGCAGCUAGAACAUCUUCAAUCUAUGUAGUGCUUCGGUCUUCAAAAUAACUGAAACAAUUUUUUCUUAUUUGUCCUCUUAACAUCUUUAUUAAGAAGGGAGGGAGUCAAGCUGUUGGUUCCUUCUUGAAGCUGGGAAAACUUGCUCAAUGAUGCAAUGGUAAAAUUGGAGUAGAUCCCAAUUAUUUGAAAGACCACGAAGGGCUUUGUAAUAGGUGACUGAGUUUAAACAAGUCAUGCGUAAUCAGUAUGAACCAAGAAUAAUGCCAUUCUUUGUGUUGUGUUAGGCAUGCCCUUGCUUUGACUUUUACAGAGGUAAAAAGAAAAGGAACUUAGUGAAGACCAUUGGUGAGGAGAAGAGGAUCAGAACAAGGUCAGAGGAGAGAAAGGCACCAUUGAUAGCAGUCUGUUCUUUGUAGACCCUCAACAUGGAGCCACCCCUCCAGUGGCUUUCCCUUCGAAUUGGUUAAUAAAGCCUGUGAGUCAUGCACAGUGUAGUGUUAUUGUUCUCCUGGUGCGAUUUAGCGCAGAAACCAGUGCUUAGGCAGCUGGCAGUGUUACAGCAUACUCUUGCCAGUCCUGAAUCUUCAAGGCUGUUCUGUAUGAGUAAGAAGGCUUAAGAGGCGGUCCUGCUCCUCUGAUCUAUAAUUCAUUAAAUUAGUGUUAGUGAUCAAUUACAUCAUUUUUACCUCUGUUGUAAAUUGUUAGGGAUUGAAGUUUCUUCUGGUUCUUUUUGUGGAUUUUUUCCAUUUCAUGUGCAAAUGUGAGUCUUUUCUUUAUUUUACAGAAAAAGCUAUAAUUUUGGCUACUUUUUAGACCUUGGGAAAUCUUUUCGGCUCUGGAAAAGACUACAGAUGAUUUUGGUUUUAAUUUACCCUAUAUAUCACUAUUCAUUCACCACUUGUAUAAUUGAUAAAAACAUUUUCCUCAAUUACUUUAUAAAUACAUUUCUCAAAAGCAUUUUUGUCCAUAUUGCUUGCUGCAGAGCAUGACCAAUUUUCAUAGUCUUUACUACAAUAUGCUGUAUAAUACCCUUAAUGUUGGUGCUGUCUACUCUCAUAUUUACUUAAUCUAUCAUCAAAGGGAGCAUGGUUGAUGCCUCUAAGUGAGCCAAUCGAUUAUACAGCAUUAGGUUUAGCUUCCACAAGCAGAAAUCUCUUUUCUCCCUUAGGAACCUUAAUUCUGGAAAUGAGCCUUUCAUCUAGAUUCAGAAUGUUCAUUUAUUAAAUGCAAAUGUAUUUUGGCUUACAUAAUACAUAUUUAAAUGAUAGAUUUAUAGAGUAACAAUAAAAUAUAUGACAUUUUAUUAGCGUCUGUGAUGGUUUUAAAUAUAAUCACAGUGAAACUGGUUUAGAGUGUAAAUGUAAUGGCAUAUCUUUCAAGAUGAACCACAGAUUUUAUUUUUUUUAAUUUUUUAAAAAGAUUUAUUUAUUUAUUUAUUUAUAUAAGUACUGGGUACAGUCAGAAGCGUGGGAGGGCGAGAGAAUUCACCAGAGCCAGAGCGGAGAACAGAACAGGCAGACUGACGAAGUACACUGCUGAGGGGAGCAGCGGGCAGCAGGAGAGGUCUGUGUGCCAUGUGGGACCCUCGCCCAGCAGCCAGGGAUCGAACUGGUGCUGCAGAGGCUGUGGGCAGCUUCGCAACCCAGCACUCAACCGCUGAGCCACCGGGGAGGCCCAAACCACAGAUUUUAAAUGCAGAAUUAAUAAUCUUAAAUUAAUCAGAUGACUAACAUAUUUACUAACAAGCCAAAAUAUAAUACCAUAUUUAUUGAGCAGUUUUGCUAAACAGAUCUUAUAUAUAUAUGAAAACAUAGUGGAUUCCAACCAUAUUGUUGUCAUAAAUUCAUAUUUGUAUUUUGUACUAUCUAUUUUAUUUUCUUUGGCCUCCAAGACUACAUCCUGAGAACAAGGAGGGGUGGGGAAUCCACAAGUUUGAUAAAUUGAAAUGUCCAGAGAAAGUGCUGUUCAGUAUGAGUUUGGUCAGAGGCUAAGGACAAGCCUGGAAGAAUCCCUCCUUCUGCUUAAUGUAUCACCCAAGCUGAGUUCAUUCAUCAGUGGCUCCAUCCCUUCCCCUAGAAGACAGGGACAGUAAUCCCUGCCCUCGUGGUGUUGGGAACAUGAAUUGAGAUAUACAGGUGGUAGCUGAUGUAUUAAUAACAUUGUCAAUAAUAAAAAUGUUCAGGUUACCUUAAUAUAAAUCCAUGUUACGUUUCUUAUGUGUUCAGCAUGCUAAACCAAAUUAGUUCUUUUUCCAACUGUACUAAGUAUAACAGAAUCAAACUUUGUUAGAACUUUUGUCAUUACGACAUCAAUAAGGAUCUAUUUGUAUCACAGUUUAAAGACACAGCCCAGCAGCCCAGUGUUAAUACUGGAAUGCUGGCCAGACUUGGUUCCCUUGUGCAGUAAAAGGAACAGAGUUUGAAGGGAACAUUGAGGAGGGCAGCACACUCGUGUGCAAAAGGCCACCGUGCUGGCAGAGAGUGGUGGUGUUUAUCUAAGUUACUAAGGAGUAGAGGGCGGGAGUGAGCAAGGGUCAGCAUGUCCAGCCCCCUGACUCAAGCAUCUGUAGAUUCUAUUCGAUGCCAGCUGGCUUCUGCCAUCAUCUGGUUGUCUGUGGUUCUGAUGUUACCUUUGUAGUGAAGCUCUUUUCCCUGGGAAUGUAAAAGAGCAGGCUUUAUUAGGCCUAGAGGGAAAAUAAAGGAAACGAGAGCGCUUGUCUGGUGGGACAGAGAGAGACAUGUGCUUGUUUCUGCCCACUGCAUCCUCGUCUCUGGGACGGCUCAAGUGAGCUCAGACACACCAUUUUGAAAAUGAGGCCUCAAUGUAUUGUCUCCUUCAUGCUGUUCUGUAGUCAGGCUGAAUGUGUCCCAUCUUGAGGAAAUUGGCACUUUAAAACAAAUUUCUGUUUAGGUUUACCCUUAUUUUUACAGCAGAGUUUCUCAACUUGGCACUGUUAACGUUUUGAACCAGUAAUUCCUUAUUGUGGGGGCUGUCCUGGGAGUUGAGGUUGAUAGCAGCAUCUGUGACCUCUGCUGACCAGAGACCAGUAGCACCCCACUUCUCUUGUGACAUCACCAAAGACUCCAUACAUGGCUGAGUGUCCCCCUGCUGGGUAGCCAGGGCACAUUGUGAGAACAAAUGUGGGCUAGCCAGUGAGAGCCACUGCUUUCAACUUCACCACAUCAAAAUUCUAAUUAGGUUCUGAUUAAUGUGUUUUAUUUUAUGAUUAAAAAAAGCAAAGAUGAUUUUAAGGUUGUAAAGUGGUAAGCAGUGCCAGCAGAGCAUGAAAAUGACCAGUAAUUCCAGAAUAAAUUGGACAAGAGAAGAUGGAAGUUUCCAGGACACUGUGGACAAGCUUUUCUCAUUCUUAGAUACUUACAAGAAGUAUCUUAGGGCCAGUAAUAUCACAAUACUCAGAGAAUUGAGCACCUACUUCAUGUAAGAAACCUGGAGAUGAACUGUAGCCUUGAGAAGCAGUUGGAUUGCCCAGCCCCAAAAGAACCUUUGCUCCUCAAAAAAAAAGAGUAAAAAGCCCUUAAUUUCCUUCUUCCUUCCUGUUUUGCAAACACUUGGUAGAUAAGUCACUAAGCCCUGGCAUUGUGUUCUCUGGCUCUCGCUGCAGUGAUGGCUUCCUCAAAAAACCUGCCUGGGUUUUGGGCAGAUUUCCAGAAUUUAGGAUUUAUGUGCCCUCAUGACUGAAAAUAGAGAGAGGAGACAGAACUGACAGAUUAAUUGGAUGCAGAAAAUCCAGUACUUCUGAGCUAAUGAUGAAAAAGUCAAGAUUAAGGAUUCAUAGGAUAAUCAAUUACUAUGAGAAGAAACAACACAGCAGCAGGAUUCAAUAUCUGCAGAAAGUCAGGACUGAUCAAUUCUUUUUUAAAAGAUCAAUUUAGAGGACUGAAACUUAUCAUUUAAUUUCUCUUAAUUGUAACAUGAUUUGGGGAGAAUGUUUUCUUUUAGGUGCCAUGAAAACUAAACCUCCCCAGAAAUCCUGUGAAAAUACUAUAUAAAAUAACAAUGUUAAAAAAAUUACUCCAUACUGUAGAUAUUGAUGGAAAGUAACUCAAUCAUUUAUAUUGAGAGA